GAUGAAGAACGCAGCGAAAUGCGAUACGUAAUGUGAAUUGCAGAAUUCAGUGAAUCAUCGAGUCUUUGAACGCACAUUGCGCCCCCUGGUAUUCCGGGGGGCAUGCCUGUCCGAGCGUCAUUGCUGCCCUCAAGCACGGCUUGUGUGUUGGGCCUCCGUCCUCCUCCCGGGGGACGGGCCCGAAAGGCAGCGGCGGCACCGCGUCCGGUCCUCGAGCGUAUGGGGCUUCGUCACCCGCUCUUGUAGGCCCGGUCGGCGCUUGCCGACACAUCAAUCUUUUUUCCAGGUUGACCUCGGAUCAGGUAGGGAUACCCGCUGAACUUAAGCAUAUCAAAAGCGGAGGA
rnacentral:misc_RNA from 1 species